CAAAGACUGAACUGGGGAGGUGGUACCAGGCUGAAGGGAAUUCCCAGCCUGAGUAUGGAAGAUUUGUGACCUGCUUGUAUUGUCUGUCAGGAAUCUGAGGAAACAGAUGCGUCAGAAAUCCAGCUCAGGAGUUCAGCACAGUGCCCUGCACUGAGUCAUCAUUAUGCAGCCUGAUUAACCUCUGCUCCUCAGGAACAGAGAUUAAGAAGUCCAUUCUGUCCAUUUUAAUAAAUUGCUGCAUGAGGGAGUGAGGAUUGGCAUUAACAAUGGAUGACACAUGAAAUCCAACUAACAACCCAAACCUUUGCCUGAAAUGCAAACUGAACUGGAACCUCUUAUGUGCAUUACAAACCAAUGCACUACUCGUGUCUGCUUUUCUGGUCCGUGCCAGACAUAUACACAAGAUCUUUUAGAGAAAAGCCACCCUCCACCCAAACAAGACAGCAAUGGAGACCUCCCAAGAAAGACUGCUCUCCCAAAAUCUCUAGUCUGACUUCU